AUUUGAUGUGUAGUACGUACAAGCGACUCAUUGAAGAAAUGAGGACAGCGUCCGGAAGCAAUCGUCUAAAUCUUACCGGAUGAGUCAUUUGCUCAAGGUGUCAAGGUUGUUCUUUAGAGGCAAAGGCUAAUGCUGACUCCUCACUGCUCAUCUUUGAUCUCACGUUAAUUAAUUAGUAUUCAUGGUUGUGAUAGGUUCAUGAUAGAUGCAGUGUUUGUACAGUUGAUUCAUAUGAGUGAUAGUGAUCUAUGACAAAAUGUUGUAGCUCUUACUUGUGAUUCUAAUAAAAGUCCAG